GACGAAGGUGGCGAGCGUUGUUCGGAAUCACUGGGCAUAAAGCGCACGUAGGUGGUGUCGUAAGUCGGGUGUGAAAUCCCUCGGCCUAACCGAGGAACUGCGCCCGAUACUGCGAUGCUUGAGGAUCAGAGGGGUGCAUGGAAUUUCCGGUGGAGCGGUGAAAUGCGUUGAUAUCGGAAGGAACUCCGGCGGCGAAAGCGAUGCACUGGCUGAUUUCUGACACUGAGGUGCGAAAGCCAAGGGAGCAAACGGG
rnacentral:rRNA from 1 species